GGCGUCGUCCAUGUUUUCUACAGUCAAUGUGUUGAACGGCCAUUCCAAGAAGCUCUCGGCUGAGAUUACAAGAGUACCGCCGGGCAUGGGAUAAACAGCCUCCGUCGGGCGAGGCAGAUCGGCGGGGGCUGAAAGAGAGAAUUCGGGUAUGUGUGGGAUGAGAAAAGAAGUUAUUACACCAUCAGAAGCAUUUGGCUAAAGGGCUGAUGCCAGAGCAGCUGGCCAAAGGCCUGGUGCCUAAAAGACAGGAGAAGAAAACCCCCCCACCAAAACUCCAAGAGUACCGCCGGAUCUGGAAGAAACAGCCCCCGCCAUGAGAAGCAGACCGGCGGGAGCUGAAGUAAAGGGUUCGGGUAUGUGUGGGAUGAGAAAAGAAGUUAUUACGCCAUCAAGCAGCUUGGCAAAGGCGUGACCCCAAAAAGCACGGAAAAGCACCCUGCAGGACGAAGUUCUCACAGUGGGACGUGGAGCUGUGGUCCACAGGGUUCUUUCAUUGUCUCCUCCCGGCGAGCUCCUAUGAGAAGAAAAAAAAAAAAGUGAUAAAGUAAUAAGACCAGCUGCUCCCCCGCCCUUCCAAAGGACAGACCCGGCGGUCAAGUAAGUUAAAUGCAGAGGAUCAAAAAUUAAAAGUACUGCCACUUCUGUUUGAGACUCACGCUGGAAAUAAUGUGGAAAUAUGAUUCUAGAGGCUCUUGAUAGGUUUCAUCACUCUCCGACCUCUUCACAUUUGAUAAAUAUCGUCAGUUAUUUCCUCUUACCUUU